GUGGGGAAUAUUGGACAAUGGGCGAAAGCCUGAUCCAGCCAUGCCGCGUGUGUGAAGAAGGUCUUCGGAUUGUAAAGCACUUUAAGUUGGGAGGAAGGGCAGUAAGUUAAUACCUUGCUGUUUUGACGUUACCGACAGAAUAAGCACCGGCUAACUUCGUGCCAGCAGCCGCGGUAAUACGAAGGGUGCAAGCGUUAAUCGGAAUUACUGGGCGUAAAGCGCGCGUAGGUGGUUUUGUAAGUUGGAGGUGAAAUCCCCGGGCUCAACCUGGGAACUGCCUCCAAAACUGCAUGACUAGAGUACGGUAGAGGGUAGUGGAAUUUCCUGUGUAGCGGUGAAAUGCGUAGAUAUAGGAAGGAACACCAGUAGCGAAGGCGACUACCUGGACUGAUACUGACACUGGGGUGCGAAAGCGUGGGGAGCAAACAGGAUUAGAAACCCCGGUAGUCC
rnacentral:rRNA from 1 species